UACAGAGGUCUCAAGCGUUGUUCGGAUUCAUUGGGCGUAACGGGUGCGUAGGUGGCGCGCUAAGUCAGGUGUGAAAUUUCGGAGCUUAACUCCGAAACUGCAUUUGAUACUGGCGUGCUUGAGGACUGGAGAGGAGACUGGAAUUCAUGGUGUAGCAGUGAAAUGCGUAGAGAUCAUGAGGAAGACCAGUGGCGAAGGCGGGUCUCUGGACAGUUCCUGACACUGAGGCACGAAGGCCAGGGGAGCAAACGGG
rnacentral:rRNA from 1 species